rnacentral:tRNA from 1 species
GUCCCGGUAGCUCAGUGGAUAGAGCGCUUCCCUGCGGAGGAAGAGGUCGGACGUUCGAAUCGUCCCCGGGACA